CCACGGGUGGCAGCAGUAGGGAAUAUUGCUCAAUGGGGGAAACCCUGAAGCAGCAACGCCGCGUGGAGGAUGAAGGUUUUUGGAUUGUAAACUUCUUUUGUUAGAGAAGAUAAUGACGGUAUCUAACGAAUAAGCACCGGCUAACUCCGUGCCAGCAGCCGCGGUAAUACGGAGGAUGCGAGCGUUAUCCGGAUGUAUUGGGUUGAAAGGGUGCGUAGGGGGACAGUCAAGUCAGCGGUAAAAAUGCGGUGCUCAACGCCGUACAGCCGUUGAAAAUGGCAGUCUGGAGUGGGCGAGAAGUAUGCGGAAUGCGUGGUGUAGCGGUGAAAUGCAUAGAUAUCACGCAGAACUCCGAUUGCGAAGGCAGCAUACCGGAGCCCGACUGACGCUGAGGCACGAAAGCGUGGGUAUCGAACAGGAUUAGAUACCCCUGUAGUC
rnacentral:rRNA from 1 species